rnacentral:tRNA from 1 species
GAGGAUAUAGCUCAGUGGUAGAGCACUUGCCUAGCACGCAUGAGGCCCUGAGUUUAAAUCCAGGUAUCUCA